rnacentral:misc_RNA from 1 species
UUGAAUCUUCUCAAGUUUCAAAUCCUUAGAAACCACAGCCCAAAUCAAAACAUCAAAAUUAUUAGAUAUAGUGGCAAAUCUAUUGUUGAUUUGAGUAAGGAGAGUAGUUUUACCGACUCCCCCCAUACCGUAUAUGCCAAAAAUUCCCACCUGAUCUCCCGUGAUGAAGCUCCAUGCCUCGUCUAAGGUAGUUUCAGUGCCCACUGUUGGAUUAACAUUUCUUACUACCACUGGUUCUGGAAGUGUCCUCUCAACCACUUCCUUAAAAUCUCCUUUGGCUUUCAAAGCAAUCAGAUCUUCUAAUUUCUUGGCAACCCUUCCCACGAACAUAUAAUUGGAAAUGUCUCCUACUAGCAAUUUCUGAAUUUGUUGUGUGCCAUCUCUUCCGAGCUCCUCUGCUUCUGUUAUUAUCGCUUCCGCCAUUGAAACCCAUAAUUGAACUUGUUGCAGCGCCUUC